ACAAAACAAGUUCAACCAAUGAACUCAUCUCUUGGAUCUCUUUCGUCAGUCCACCUGAGAAUCUGUUGUUCCCAAGAUCAAAAAGCGUCAGAUUCUUUAAGGACUGUAGCUCUAUAGGUACCUUUCCUUCCAAGUAAUUGUUACUAACAUCCAGUUUCAGCAGUGAACUCAAUCCUCCAACGCUUAAAGGCAACGGUCCAGAGAAGAAAUUCCUGCUUAGAUCCAAUAUAAAGGUUCACCUAGGGGUGAACCCAAGAAUAAGUGUUCGUGGAAUGCUCAAAACUAAACAAUUCGAGUGUAACUUCUUAUUAAAAUAAACCCAUCAAAUUUGAUCAUUUUGUGUUUGUUUUUGUUAUUACACUACAUUUGAUCGCCUUCUUGUUUGGUGACGCUGCAGAAAAAACAAUAAACGAUUUUUUUCCAAUUGGGGUUUCUUUCUUUUAUUUAUACGUACACAUGUUAUGUCUGAUACUUACUACUGCUAGUAACAAAAAUAGAAAAAAAUGCACACAAGAUAUAUUGGCAAAGUUGAAUAAAAUGCAUGGUUGAAAAGACCACAGCUUCGUAUCUUUCCAAGUUCCAGAUUCUGUCUUAAGCCAAAGUCACCGCCUUCAUUCUCUUGCAUUGGUUCACUCCAAAAGGAGCAUGAUCACGAAGGUUCUUGAUUUCAUCACCGUUGUAACACAGACUAGGGUUUCCCCAAACACCAAGUCUUCUUCCCAUCCUCUCAUAGAACUUCUUAGAGAACUCCAGCUCUCCACUGAUGUUAUUUCCAUUUACAUAGAGCGCGUUGAGACAAGGCAUUUUAGUUUCCAUUUGAGGAAAGAGUUUGCCUCCGAGACUGUUGUUGCUUAGACCUAAGAACCUCAGUUUCUUGAGCUCCAAGAUUGACCAUGGAAUCUCUCCUUUUAACCUUGUGUUGGAGAGAUCUAAAACCACCAAAUUCUUCAGAUUUCUCCACUUUAUUCCUGUUAAGUCCCCUUCGAGAUGGUUAUUGGACAAAACAAGUUCAACCAAUGAACUCAUCUCUUGGAUCUCUUUGGUCAGUCCACCUGAGAAUCUGUUGUUCCCAAGAUCAAAAAGCGUCAGAUUCUUUAAGGACUGUAGCUCUAUAGGUACCUUUCCUUCCAAGUAAUUGUUACUAACAUCCAGUUUCAGCAGUGAACUCAAUCCUCCAACGCUUAAAGGCAACGGUCCAGAGAAGAAAUUCCUGCUUAGAUCCAAUAUCAAUAAUCCGGU
rnacentral:lncRNA from 1 species